rnacentral:misc_RNA from 1 species
CAGUUGGUUUGUUAUCAUCUCCAUUCUUUUAUGUAUUUAAAUUUUAUUAGCACCCUUGCCUUUAUAAAUCUACCAUUCAAGUUGAGAAAUAAAUGGGAUGGUUCAUUAUUGCUAUUAACUCGUUCUUUCUUGUGCUCACACAACAUCUUGUUGGCUGUGGAAUAAAGCCUAGCCGAAGAAAUCCCAUGGGAACUUAGGUUGAUGAACUGAAUUAUUAUUUGUGGCUGAGGUGGAUGUGGACGUUGAAGGUUCUGGCAG